rnacentral:rRNA from 1 species
UACAUGGAUAACUGUGGUAAUUCUAGAGCUAAUACAUGCACCAAAGUUCUGACCUUACGGGAAGAAUGCAUUUAUUAGAACAAAACCAAGCGACUUCGGUCGUUUUUUGUUGACUCAGAAUAACUAAGCUGAUCGCAUGGUCUUGCACCGGCGACGUGUCAUUCAAGUAUCUGCCUUAUCAACUUUCGACGGUAGUGUAUCUGACUACCGUGGUUGUGACGGGUAACGGAGGAUAAGGGUUUGACUCCGGAGAAGGGGCCUGAGAAAUGGCCACUACGUCUAAGGAUGGCAGCAGGCGCGCAAAUUACCCACUCUCAGAACGAGGAGGUAGUGACGAGAAAUAACGAGACCGUUCUCUACGAGGCCGGUCAUCGGAAUGGGUACAAUCUAAACCCUUUAACGAGUAUCUAUGAGAGGGCAAGUCUGGUGCCAGCAGCCGCGGUAAUUCCAGCUCUCAAAAUGCAUAGAAUCAUUGCUGCGGUUAAAAAGCUCGUAGUUGGAUUUGUGCUAGGGACGCGGUCCACCUUCGGGUGCGCACUGUGCUCCUCGGCUUUUUCUGCUGGUUUUCUCGUCGUGGCUUUCAACGGCUGCGGCGGGUGGCUGGUGAUUUUACUUUGAACAAAUCAGAGUGCUCCAAACAGGCGUUUCGCUUGAAUGUUCUUGCAUGGAAUAAUAGAAGAGGAUUUCGGUUCUAUUUUAUUGGUUUUAUAGACUGAGAUAAUGGUUAACAGAGACAAACGGGGGCAUUUGUAUCGCUGCGUGAGAGGUGAAAUUCUUGGACCGCAGCGAGACAAACUACAGCGAAAGCAUUUGCCAAGAAUGUCUUCAUUAAUCAAGAACGAAAGUCAGAGGUUCGAAGGCGAUCAGAUACCGCCCUAGUUCUGACCGUAAACGAUGCCAACUAGCGAUCUGCCGGCGGAUUUUUCGCCCUGGUAGGGAGCUUCCCGGAAACGAAAGUCUUCCGGUUCCGGGGGAAGUAUGGUUGCAAAGCUGAAACUUAAAGGAAUUGACGGAAGGGCACCACCAGGAGUGGAGCCUGCGGCUUAAUUUGACUCAACACGGGGAAACUCACCCGGCCCGGACACCGUAAGGAUUGACAGAUUGAUAGCUUUUUCAUGAUUUGGUGGAUGGUGGUGCAUGGCCGUUCUUAGUUCGUGGAGCGAUUUGUCUGGUUUAUUCCGAUAACGAGCGAGACUCUAGCCUACUAACUAGUCUGCACAUUGCUUUUGUGUGUAGUACUUCUUAGAGGGAUUUUCNGUGUUUAGCUCGCACNAGAUUGAGCAAUAACAGGUCUGUGAUGCUCUU